UUCGGACUCCAUCUGGGUCAGUUUUCUUUCAUCAGCUGGCCUGAGAACAUCCGAGGGUAUUCAGACCAUACUGAAAAAAAGAAAAGGAGGGGAAUAGCAAGAUAAUCGGAUAUAUCGCAGCCAUGAUCCUCAAAAAUUAAAAAAAGUUUUCCAACCAUCUUGCUUAAAUACAGGAAACUGAGAUUUGUCUUCCAGAAUUUUUUCAUCACUGAGCCUCAGCUCCUCUCUGAUAUAAACUCCUUAUGUGAUCUCCAUCAAAUGCACAGCUUCAGGACAUCUAAGAUAAGAAUUAUAAACACAGAUUCUGAUACUUUGGAAAGCCUAAGGAAAACUGACCUAAACGAAAAAGGGAGGAUAUUACGUAGAUCCUGCUCUUGAAGGAGCCGCCCACAGCUUAGAAGACAGAUGAGAAGAUCAUCAUCACAGAUUUGCUGUGAACAGCUCUGCUCAGCUCUGUCCCUGCCAGACUUGGGGCCACACAUACCCUUCUAAGAGGGCUAAAGAAGAUUCACAAAGAGCACUGCUUCUUGCUCCAGCUUUGGCAAGAGCAGAGGAUGAUUUUGUCUUUCGUAAUCCCAUGAGUGAGUAAUAUAAUUACCCAAAUUUCAUGGAAGAAGAAACCGAGGCCGAGGCCAAAAUUUGCCCAUGGUUACAAAAAAAUGAAUUAUCAUUCAUCUUUUUCAAGAGGAGAAUAUUAUAAAUUUACUAUGCUACUCGUAAAUGCCUUUCUGCCAGAUUAAUAGAAAACCUUUAGAAGCUGGACUUGUAACUUAUUCUGGGAUAUGGUCUUCCACAAACAAUUGGAGUCAUCAGUGUUCAGUGGAACAUCCUUUCAGUUGCAUGAAGAUGCCAAACUAGAGGAAAGAGGACACACCAUGUGAUUUCCCAAGGGCCAUCAUUUCCCAAGGGAUGGUUGUGACUGAGGGGACACAAAAACAAACAGUCUAAAACCAACAGAUAUUCCUGUCUAAAGUAUCUUUUUAUAGCACAGCAUAGCUGUAUUCAAUAUAAAACAAGGAGAGUGAUAACUGAAUGUGAAUUACAAAGCAGAAUUUUAAUCAUGAUACGUGAGUUAAUAAUACACAUGAGUUAAACUCAUAAUACAUGAAUUAAAGAAAAUAACUGGAACCCCUUUUCAUAUUUUAUUGUCAAAAGUUUUACCAAAUAGGUGGUUUAUUUGGAAAAGUAGCACCUCUUUGAAAUUAACUCUUGAUUUGUAAAAGUUCAGAUUGUUCCUAUCUACUUGGUCAACUAAAAGUGAUUAUUUUUAUUGCUAUAAGCCAUGCAUGUUGGUCUUUGAGAAAUAUGCCAUUAAUCAUGGUUAAAUUGUAUAGGCUCAAAAAUCUCUAAGACCUGCAAGAAAAAAAAACAAAAUCCAAAAAUGUUGUAAAAUUAUUUAUUAGUCUAUAAAAAGUUGUGUGGACUUUCUACAAAACCAGCAAUUGGAAAAUGACAAAAUUGUUACUUUAUCCCUAGAGAAUCUUUACACAUUUACCUCAAAGGGAGGAAUAGAGUCAAUUACUUCUAUUUCAAAUAGAUACUCCCUUUGACAAGUAUGCAAAUCAUACUGGAACUAUACAUCUGAGCUUUUUAAUUGUGACAACUCUGAGAUACUACUUGGUAAAGAAGAUUGUGCUAUUACCUCUCCAGUCUGUUCUCAAAGGGAAUAACACUCAUGUUUCCGAGGCAGAGAGAGCACCAAGAGGUGAGGUUCUGUCCACUCCUGCUGUGGACUGAAUUGUGUUCCUCCCUCCACCCACCAAUUUAUAUGUUGAAGCCCUAAUCACCAAUGUGAGUAUAUCUGGAGAUGGAGCCUUUAAGAAGGUGAUUAAAAUUAAAAGAGGUCAUAAGGGUCGAGCCCUAAUCCAGUAGAACUCUUGCUCUUUUAAGAAGAGGAAGAGACAUCAGAGCUGUUUCUCUGCUAUUUAAGGACAUUUUGAGAAGGCAGUCAUCUGCAAACCAGGAAAACAGCCGUCACCAGAGUCCAACCAUGCUGGCAACCUGAUCUUGGGCAUCCAGCCUCCAGAACUGUGAGAAAUACAUUUCUGCUGUGUAAGUCACCCAGUCUACAGUAUUUUGAUAUGGCAGCCCAAGCUAACAUAACCCCUUAAGUAACCUAGCCAAAAAUUAUUAUUUUUUCAGCAAAUAAGGAGAAAGAAAAAAUGUUUUAUAUGAUUUUAAUUUUUGUAGGGUUGCCUGGGUGGCUCAGGCAGUUGAGCAUCCAAAUCUUGAUCUCAGCUCAGGUCUUGAUCUCAGGGCCCUGAGUUCAAGCUCUGAGUUGAGCUGCAUGCUGGACAUGGAAUCUACUAUUUUAAAAAAACGAUUGCAAUUUUUAUAAGAAAAAAUGUGAAUAAAACCAUCUUUGAAAAUUGA